CCUACGGGUGGCAGCAGUGAGGAAUAUUGGUCAAUGGACGAGAGUCUGAACCAGCCAAGUAGCGUGAAGGAUGACUGCCCUAUGGGUUGUAAACUUCUUUUAUAAAGGAAUAAAACGAGGCACGUGUGCCUUUUUGCAUGUACUUUAUGAAUAAGGAUCGGCUAACUCCGUGCCAGCAGCCGCGGUAAUACGGAGGAUCCGAGCGUUAUCCGGAUUUAUUGGGUUUAAAGGGAGCGUAGAUGGGUUGUUAAGUCAGUUGUGAAAGUUUGCGGCUCAACCGUAAAAUUGCAAUUGAUACUGGCAGUCGUGAGUACAGUUGAGGUAGGCGGAAUUCGUGGUGUAGCGGUGAAAUGCUUAGAUAUCACGAAGAACCCCGAUUGCGAAGGCAGCUUACUAAACUGUCACUGACAUUGAUGCUCGAAAGUGUGGGUAUCAAACAGGAUUAGAUACCCUGGUAGUC
rnacentral:rRNA from 1 species